rnacentral:snRNA from 1 species
ACCAACUCCAAACAGCCUUUUGGCUUAGAUCAAGUGUAGUAUCUGUUCUUUUCAGUUUAAUAUCUGAAACGGUUCUAUUUGGGACCUUCUUAUAUUAAUCUUAUUUUUGAAGCUUAGGGAAUUGGCCUCUGUGCUUGCACAUGUCGAUACCCACUGUGUCACUGGUAUUGUACUGUCUCCAGUUGAUGCAACCGACG